UAGCUCAGUUGGUAGAGCAAUGGAUUGAAAAUCCAUGUGUCCCUGGUUCGAUUCCUNN
rfam:Chryseobacterium sp. Leaf394 contig_3, whole genome shotgun sequence.